CUGAAGGGCAGCAUCCCCGUGAGGACCUCUCAAACAAAGUUACCCUGGAGAUGGUCUCUGAGGAACAGUGACAACUCUCUGCAGACAAGAUGAUCUGCUUGGUUUGGUAUUAUAAGCCCUAAAGAGGGUGGCUUCUGUGAAUUCAUACAUGAUCUGAAACAAAGAUUAUAGCCGUCAGGAUGAAAGGACAUGCUUGUGGUGCCUCACUGCUCUGUGCCAAAGAGGUAGAAAUGCUAAAGGCAUGCCAAAAUAGCUUCUCACAAAUAGAAGCUCAUCAGCUCCCAAAAUUUCCAUUCAGACCCAAGUAUAAAGGAACCGGCUUGGCAUCUGCACUUGCUAAUGCCUAGAAAGACCAGCUUGACCUUCAAGUGCCAUCUUUUCAUGAAGAGGCAGCCAUUCCUCACCAUGGUUGUCUCCCAGAAACAUAGGGAAGAUGGCGCAGAAUUGCGGAGGGUCAGAACAGGACAGCAGCUGCAAUGACUUGAAAGGACUUCAAACUUCAUUUUCUACUCUGCAGAUGAUAAAUUAGUUCAUCUUCAUCUCAGACUAAUUCUCAUAUGGAGAGACAAGAUGGCAUCUGUCCCUAAAUGCAGGAAGGUCACUUUACAGCUACGCCACAACUCUGCAUAAAUAAAUUCUUGGAGGCAACUUGGGUUUUUUUGAAUUCAGAGUUGGGCCAGCAUCAGCUGUAGCCCUGUCAGUUUGGUGCUGCCAACUGUCAGUAAUAGGACUUAAUUUUUAUAACAAUAUCAGGCUCCAGGACUUGUCAGGUUUUGUCUAAACUGGAAUUUAUUUUAGCUUAAACUUAGCUCUAUCUCCAAAGCUAUUUAAGAAACCUUUGCUGCACCUGCAGCUUGCUCUAGGAUCAGAUGACUCUCAUCUACUCUAUCCUAGCUGUAGCAACAAAACUACCCUAAUAUCAUAUACCUAUUGUUUGUCCUGUAAUUUCAGCCAGGUUUCAGUUAUGUUAUUGCCUAACUUGUUUUGGCUCCAGUCUUAUGUAACUUCGUGUAACAAGUGUGUGGUUCUAGCCCCAAAAUCACAUUGUAUAUGAAGAAAAAAGGUUAAGAAACCUAAGUAAUCACAGCAAUGACUAAAUAACCCCAUGGACCAUUAAAAUGCAACAGUCUGCAACUCAUUACAAAAUACAAGGUUAACACAUAAAAAAUAACCCCAAGCAGCUGCAAGGAGGAGCCAGCCCCCACAACUGACACCACGCUUUGCCCGAGCAGGAACCGAUAUGCUGACAGCUCACUCUCAUAAUACAACUGCAGGAUGUGAGCCUGGCAUCAGAGAAAACAGGCAGCUCGCCAUGCCUGUUGAUUUUAUUGCAUUUGUAAUGAUCUCCAACAGAAACUGGGCAAUUUGGAUUAUUGCUUUAAACCAAGUAAUAGUAAGUGAUUGUCCUGUUUUGGAUUAGACUGUUAAAGCAUUAGAGUAACAACAACAAGGAAUAAUCAUUCUCCGCUGCCCAUCA